GUGCAGGUUGUUGUGAUGAGCUAGCUUGCGACUGUGCUGGUGUUGCCAACAUCGGCUGAUAAGGCGGAUACUGCGGUGGCGGUGGGUAUGGCAUGCGAGGUGGGGGCAUGUAACCGCCAUACGGUGGGUAGUAGGGUGGGUACUGACCAUGGUAAUAUUGUGGUGGCAUAGGGUAACUCUGUCCUGAGCUGCUUGAUGCCUGAGCUUGGGCUGCCUGCUGUGGACCGGGUUUGCCAUCACCCUCCUGUGACUUGACCAAGGCACCCAUCCUCUGGGGAUCCAUUGAAGGGUACAGUGUCCGCUCUGCUCCUGGCGGUGCUGGAAUGUUGAAGUAGUAUGAUCCCGAUGGUGCUUGCUGUUGUCCCUCCAUUCCAGGUGGUUGAGGCUGGUCACCACUCUGCUGCUGAGAUAUAACAGCCCUGGGGAGCAUUCCUCCAUGUGCAACAUGCCCUUGCCUUCCAGCUUCAUCGUCUUC
rnacentral:lncRNA from 1 species